rnacentral:tRNA from 1 species
AGGUAGGGUGGCCGAGUAGGUGGCAGGCUGUAGUCCUGUUUACGGGGCAGCGCCCCCCCAACCAG